UCGGACCACCCAAAAUUUGACCAAUCACGAUCGUCGUUACUUAUUUAACGGUCAUUGUUCUUCGUGAAAGUGAACGCUGCAGGUCGUGAGGUCGAUUAUGCUGUAAAAAUAAUAAUAAAAAGAUUCAGCAGAACGUGCAAAUGAAUGUAUUCAUCUAUGUCCGUAAAUCGAUCCAAUUUUCGAGGUUCUUACAACGUAUGGAGUAAAUCAUUGGCAGCUAUAUUUCUAUGCUCAUUGUCAUCGAAUUUAUUCGAGAGACAAAGUGGAUGAUAGAAUGGAAAAGUUCGUACACCAUAAGAUGACGAAAAUUGAUUUCCCACCCUAAGAUGUUGAAGAUCGUAAGUAUAGGAUGAAAUCAAGAAAAGAAAAAAAAGAAAAAAAAAAAAAAAAAGAAAUGAAAGAUUUCCUACAAGAAAGUUUAAAAAAAAAAAAAGAAAAAGAAAAAGGUUCGUACAAAUUUCGUUAAUUUUAUUAUUAAUUUUACGAUAAACCAAUCCAAUUCGUGAAGUUUGAACUUAAUAUAAAAAAAAGAGAUCACAAUAAAUA